rnacentral:snRNA from 1 species
AUUGCUUAUAUACUGUUAUAAAAGUAGAAAAACAAAUUUAAUCUCUGUUCUUAAUACGUGGGCCAUCGGCCCACAUGAUAAGUCAGUAUUUUUUUAGGAGGAGAGCCCACCACAUUGGGGCCCUCGCGCGUCGCCCGUGCAUUACACUACUGCUCGGGCCUGGCUGGCGCACCCCAC